rnacentral:rRNA from 1 species
UUUGCCCUACGGGGCGCAGCAGUGAGGAAUAUUGGUCAAUGGGCUUACGCCUGAACCAGCCAAGUCGCGUGAGGGAAGACUGCCCUAUGGGUCGUAAACCUCUUUUGUCAGGGAGCAACGCCGGCUACGUGUAGCCGGACUGAGAGUACCUGAAGAAAAAGCAUCGGCUAACUCCGUGCCAGCAGCCGCGGUAAUACGUAGGGAGCAAGCGUUAUCCGGAUUUACUGGGUGUAAAGGGCGCGUAGGCGGGAUGGCAAGUCAGAUGUGAAAUCCAGGGGCUCAACCCCUGAACUGCAUUUGAAACU